AGAGUUUGAUCAUGGCUCAGAACGAACGCUGGCGGCAGGCUUAACACAUGCAAGUCGAACGCGUGCAGCAAUGCACGAGUGGCGCACGGGUGAGUAACGCGUGGAUAUCUGCCUUUUGGUUCGGAAUAACCCCGGGAAACUGGGGCUAAUACCGGAUGGUACCUUCGGGUUAAAGAUUUAUCGCCAAAAGAUGAGUCCGCGUCCGAUUAGCUAGUUGGUGAGGUAACGGCUCACCAAGGCGACGAUCGGUAGUUGGUCUGAGAGGACGAUCAGCCACACUGGGACUGAGACACGGCCCAGACUCCUACGGGAGGCAGCAGUGGGGAAUAUUGGACAAUGGGGGCAACCCUGAUCCAGCCAUGCCGCGUGAGUGAUGAAGGCCUUCGGGUUGUAAAGCUCUUUUGGCGGGGACGAUGAUGACGGUACCCGCAGAAUAAGCCCCGGCUAACUUCGUGCCAGCAGCCGCGGUAAGACGAAGGGGGCUAGCGUUGUUCGGAAUUACUGNNNNNNAAGCGAGUGUAGGUGGUUGUUCAAGUUGGAUGUGAAAGCCUUGAGCUCAACUCAAGAAAUGCAUUCAGGACUGAGCAACUAGAGGACCGGAGAGGAUAGUGGAAUUCCCAGUGUAGUGGUGAAAUACGUAGAGAUUGGGAAGAACACCAGUGGCGAAGGCGGCUAUCUGGACGGUUUCUGACACUAAGACUCGAAAGCGUGGGGAGCAAACAGGAUUAGAUACCCUAGUAGUCC
rnacentral:rRNA from 1 species